GUAGGUGGCAAGCGUUGUCCGGAAUUAUUGGGCGUAAAGCGCGCGCAGGGCGGUCCUUUAAGUCUGAUGUGAAAGCCCACGGCUCAACCGUGGAGGGUCAUUGGAAACUGGGGGACUUGAGUACAGAAGAGGAAAGCGGAAUUCCAAGUGUAGCGGUGAAAUGCGUAGAGAUUUGGAGGAACACCAGUGGCGAAGGCGGCUUUCUGGUCUGUAACUGACGCUGAGGCGCGAAAGCGUGGGGAGCAAACAGGAUUAGAUACCCUGGUAGUCCACGCCGUAAACGAUGAGUGCUAAGUGUUACGGGGGUUUCCGCCCCUUGGUGCUGCAGCUAACGCAUUAAGCACUCCGCCUGGGGAGUACGGCCGCAAGGCUG
rnacentral:rRNA from 1 species